ACAUCACAUCGAAAUACCAGUUCCUGUAUGAUCACAGAAAUUAAGCAACGUCAAGCCUAGUCAAUACCUAGAUGGGUGACUGCUUGGGAAUAUCAGGUGCUGUAAG